CAUUAGAUGUUUCUGUUAUUAUUAUUUUACUUCUUUGUAUCACCCCAGAGAUUUUUAUUUUCUUCAAAGAUUGAACAUGGCAACUGACAGGAGCUUAAUGGAUACUCGUUACAUUUUAUUGCAGUGAUAUUGUACCUACUAAAUUAAAUGGUGGACCAGAGAGCCAGUGUGGCAUGAUGAAAAGCAGAGUCUCCGGAGAUGUGAUACUUGGGUCCACAUGCUGGCACCACCACUUGAGGCAGAUGACCUGGCCUCGGGGGUCUCUGUUUCCUUGUCUGUAAUGCCUACUUCAUAGUUUUGUUAUGAGAAUGAAGUGGAUUAAUACUUCCGUGGUGCUUCACACUGUGCCUGGAACAUAGUAAGCCUGACAACACCUGAGCGACCAUCUGGAGCCCACACAUCCUCAACAGAUCACACUGCUGCUUGGCCACUGCUCUCCACCCUCUUCUGAGGCUGCUGCUUAUACCACAGUGUUGAUGGCCUCCUCUCUGCUCCCCAGAGCAGAUGCUCCCACCAACACUGCUGCUCUUGGGCAUCAGAUAGGUUCUGCGAGCUUCACCAUUGUCAGAAGGCCCAGAUGGCUCCGGGAGGUCCCAUGGAUGCUCAGCCCAAACCAGGAGUUUUCUCACACUCCAUGCAAGUGAGUUGGCGCAGAUAGACGUGCGGAAAUUGGAAUCUAACUCCACAUAAACCAGUUAUGUAUACGGGAAGUCCUUAUUUUGCAUAGUAAUGCAAGACCAUAAAAAUGACUGUGUAAGCUGAAACCCUGCAAAGCAAUCUUAAUCGAAGGGAAUAAUUACAGUUGUUCUGUGACCUUUAAACAUUUUUGUCAAAACAUUAAACAUUCUCUUACUGUUGUUUAUAAAUGCAUGGGGAAAUGAAAAAUUAACAAAACUAAUAUUUAUUUAUUACACUGUAAUUUAAAACAUUAGAAACAUUGAGAAUUAAGGUGUUUUAUUUCUUUGUAAAGAACAUAUCAAAAGUAGUUUGCACAGUUCUUGCCUUUCUCCCCUUACUGUAUAGCUUAUGAUACAGCUGGAGCAACUUUUCUAUGCCUUGGUGAAUUGUCGUACUUUGUUGUAAGUGUAGUCUAGUUCUAAGUCAGGUCCUAAUGUUUUAUCCUUUGCUCUUGCAAUGUUACAAAAUAUCUAUAAGAAUUCCUUGAAGGUGAAGUUUUUUGCCAGUGCCACUUCCACUGGCACAUCUUCAUUUUCUUGGAAUCUGGAUGCAGAUUUCCCAGCUGCAUGCUUACAUGUGCUAGCAGCUUCAUCACUAGCUUGACAUCAAUCAAUUCAUGCUAAAUUCUGGAAUGAGGAAACAAGCCUUUACUGGCAGUAAAAUAUUCUUCUUCAGUAUCCUUGUAAUUACCAUUUUCUUUCAAUGUGGCAACUAAGAUCAAUGCUUUGGCCAGGAUGCAAGCCAAACUACUUCGGAUUUUGAAAUAUUACAGUCUUCAAUCCAAAGUAGAAAACUCUCCAAGCAUAAGCAGCUUUCUGGUCCUAUUGCAAUUUAAACUAAGAGAUGAAGCAACGUUACCUUGCUUUUAAUACACAUUGGAUUUUUCCAGUGCAGUUUGUUCCAUAGCUCCAUGCAGGCCAUGGUGCAUCCAGUCUUUGCUCUGCUCUUGCCAAUUUCACAUCUUCAAUCUAAUCACAUCCAGUUUACUGCCGGCAUUAUCACUUUUUGUUUCUUUGUUGCAUUUUUAUUUUUGUUAGCUUACCCUCUAUCCAGUGAUCCAUUUUUUGUAAAAUUUUCAUCACAUGGAUUUAUCACUGGAAGACAAGGAGGCAACACAACUUCACAUUUUGCUGUCUGGGCAUGAACUGAGUAACAGAUAUGCAAUGACUAAUCAAGGACAGGCUUUGAAAGAAGUGAUGUGAUUGGUUCAUCAUGAUGUGCAUCUGUUGUUUAUAUCAUGAUUUGCGGACUGGCAAGCAGGCAGUGAAGUUUGUACUUUAUGCAAUUAUAGUUAAUAUAUACUGUGGUGACUGAAAUUUGAACUAGUUUUUGGGAACGGGUAUUAUUUCGCUAAACUGAAACUUGUGCACAUCAGUGCCAUAAAAAGCAAGGACUGCUUAUUAAUGUGUACCAACCAAAUACUUUUGGGCACAUUCACAGCACAGCACUUCCUCCUCCUUGUGGUUGGACGGUUCCACGUGACCAGUCUAGCCAAUGGAUUGUGAGCAGAAGUUACAUGUGUCAGUUCCGUGCCAAACCAUUUGAUGGACAGUCAGUCGUGUCCUAGCCCCUGAGGAUAUCGGAGGAGGUGGCUGCUCUGUUAGCCUAAGUCUCUGAGCAACAAAGGUGAGCAGAGGCCCCCUGCUGAGAUAUGAUGGACAUGUAGCAUAAGCAAGAAGUAAACCUUUGUUUUAAGCCACUGAGAUCUUGGGGUUAUUUGUUUCUGUAGCAUAGCAACUCGUUAUGAUUGAUAUAAAAUAUCAUCAGGAGGUAAUCUAGGAAAAGGAGGAUAGGGAGCUGGGCAGAAUUUAGAACUCAGAAAUUGGCAGCUGAUAGUAAAAGGGCUCCAAAUUUGUAGGGGUAGGAGGAGAGGAAGAAUCAGGGGCAUGUACUUAAAAAAUCUUUAUAUGAUAAAAAAAAAAUUAGCACAGACACAGAAAAUAAAUGUAUAGCUUAAUAAAUUAUUAAAAAAUGAAGGUUAUCCAUUUAUGGAUUAAUAGAUUAAUGGACUAUCAUGGGAGUGGGACUCGUGGUUUAUAAGAAGAGGAAGAGAGACCUGAGCUAGCACUCAGCCCCCUUGCCAUGCAAUGCUCUGUACCAGUUUAGGACUCUGCAGAAAGUGCCUACCAUCAAGAAUGUCUCUCGCCAGACGUGGUAACUUGACCUUGAACUUCUCAGCCUCCAUAACUGUAAGAAAUAA